CAAGUUUAUUCGAUAAACUGCAACAUUGAUGGUGUAUCUUGAGGCUCUCUUUGGGUGUUUCUACCUAAGGAGGCAUUUUUAUUAGUCUCCUUGGAAUUUUUAUUAGUGCUUUCUCUGCUAACAUUGGUAUUGCUAAUUAUGUUCAUGUUGAAAAAAAAAAGUUGUAACUUAUUUCAUUGAAUUGAUCAGUCUAGUGUCUCAAACCACUUAUGGCUUGAAUGUGAAUCCUUGUUAAGUAUUUCUGCUUUCUCGAAUAUUAAUCUUGUUCCUUUAAAG
rnacentral:lncRNA from 1 species